GAGAGGAUAUAGCAAGCUAUUUUCGCACACUGACAAUACCAAUCAAAAUAUCAGUAGCGAAAAAUGAAACAGUCAUCUCCGCGUCGAAGAUUGGAUCAAUCUCUGUUACGAGCAACUUGGGCGUCAAAGACGAGAUAGAAAACGUGCUGUACAGUCCUGAUGUCCCGUGCAACUUGCUGUCCGUUACCAAGAUGCAACAAGCCGGAUACUCCGUGACCUUUGGUGACGAUGGGGUAAUGAUGUACUGCCACGGUAAGCCCGUGAUGUCCGGUAAGACCGUAAACAACCUGUUUACUCUGGAAUUCAAGAUAACCAGAUCGUGGACAUGCUGACCGAGCCGCUGCCAGCAGCCAGGUUCCGCGACUUGCGGGACACGAAUGUGGAAGAAUAAUGUUUUAUAAUGUUUCAAUAAAUACUAAUAGUAAUUAAUUAUUUAAUGAU